rnacentral:lncRNA from 1 species
CCGAAGAGCCAAUUUUCUGAUUAUAUUGCUUGAGUAAAAACAAGUAUCUGAUCUGCCCAAGAGGGCCUUACAAGGUAUAUAUAAUGCCCCUUAGUCAAGGGAUACAAUAAAUGCUAGUCAACAUUACCCCAUUUGGGCAUGCAAUCCAUGAACUAGUGGAAAGACCCUUGUCUAGUAAGCUGUUUUUGUUGUGCAGUUUCUGCCCAGCUGGUCAAGGCUCCAAAGCCCCAUACA